UAACCUGCUAGUCUCCCAUCAGCAUUCCACUGUGAUUUCACUCAGAACCUACAAGAUCAACAGGAAAUGAAUGUUGUCACAAAGUGCUUGGUUACUGUGUCGUCUUCUAUAGUCCAACAGUGUAGGGGCCCCAACACGUUAGGCAUUCUUGACUUCCUGUGAAGGCAUUACAAGCCUCUCUGAAUAUUAUUACUUCUCUCACUUUGGGAACUAUGCCUUCUCACACAGAGGGACACGUCUGACUUUUGACUCUUCUUGAAGAAAUUUUACCAAGAAAUGGAGCUAGAGAAUAAUCUUAGAGCUCUUACAUACCAUUUGGUAGAAAGGAAUCUGAAUUGAUCCUGAGCACUUGAGGUGUCUCCUUUCAUAGAUUCUGUGGAUGUUGAAUUCAUCAACAUGGAGUGAAAAAUAAAAUAUGAAGCAAUCUUUCUAAAUCUUUCUAAAUCAGAAUUUACUUCCUCUACUCUGAAUUUGAUAUUUGUAUGAGAUUAUUAAAAUGUAGAUGUUAAUGAGUCACAUGAGCAUUUAGGCCAAGAGGAGGGACAGUGUCACCUAUAAAUAAAUACGGAAGGAAAACUGAUACAUCCUUUAGAGUUAUUAAUUCAAUAAAUAUUUGUAUAUAAUAAUGUCCUUAAUCCCAGCUUGCCUGAGUUCAUGAAACAAAACUACUUCAUUAUAUUUAAUGUUCAUACAGUUGCUUGAUGCCAACAUUCACAUACCAGCACAAAUAUACAUGUGGAUGUAUACAUGUAUAUUCACAUACAUGCAUAUUUUUACCAUGCAUAUAUUUUUUUAUUUGUGUUUACUAAAUUAAUAGCUCAAGUCUUCAGUAAAAUAUACUUUGUCAUCACAGUUUUUUUAAUGCCUUAUGGAAUCAUGGAGCCAUAAACAAUUCUCAGAAGACAAUUCCUAGCCUGAUACCACUUAUUUCGAAUGUCAUCUCAAUUUCUAUAAAUUUUGGAAGUAUAUGAUGAUGUAAACUGCAACUUUAAGAAGUAUUAUGAUAGACAACAACUGUAUAAAAGACAUUCAGUGUUCAUAGAACAAUAUGUAUAAAAUGAACGCAAUUUUUUGAUUAUCAUGAAGAUUUAAAAAAAUUAUGGAAUGGAAGAAUUUGCAUUUAUGUGUGGCUUCAGUACAAUACUUCAUUAGAAUUUUGAAAAGACAUGCUACUUUAAAUUAUGCAAUUUUACUCCAGUAUAAAUGUUUAUGUAGUUGUAGUGAAUGGGCCAUUUUGUUAUAAAAGAGAGAUGAAUGUGACAAAAUUGGGCAGACCUUGCUGUAAGAGCCCCAUGUUUUUUCCUCCAAUCACUUCAGCUUAAUAUCACUUUGAAUGAGUAUCAUUCAUCCUUCCGAACAGCACACAGAUCACAAUUGAUGAUUUACAAUUGGUACAGGAUUCAUUAGGGAAAGCUUUCUGUUUAAAAAAUAUUUUAUGUAUGUUCUGCAUAUUUUUAAAGGUUUAUUACAGAGAGAGAGAGAUAGAGAGAGAGAGAGAGAGAGAAUCUUUCAUUCGCUGGUUCAGUCCCCAGAUCCACAAUAGCAUGUCCUGGAGCAGGCCAAAACAAAGAACAUGAAGUUUAACAGUUGGGGCUGGAACGGCUGCUCUUCUGGCAUGCCAUGCUACAGUGCCGGCCCCCGGGAAAGAGCUCACGCACGUGGGCUGCAGGUAGAGGGCCCUGUUACCCUGAGGUAGCCAAGCUUCUCUGUGUACAUUCUAAGCACUCAACACAUCAUCUCAGCACAGGGAGCAGAGUUCCACUUGCCAAAUUUCAUUUUUUUCAGUUUCCCUUUAAGAAAUUUGUCCAAAUAUUACCUCCAUAAUAUGCCUAAAAAAGAAGUUUAUGGUUACAUCUAUGAAUAAAUUAUAAUUUUAUUCAAAAAUUUGUGUUUAUUAAAAUAUAUAAUUUUACAUGACAAAAAUUACUUUAAAUCUGCUUUGGCUUUAAUUCUUUUGUUAUCAUAAAGUUAAAAUAGAAUCAAUCUUUGUAAACAGAGAGAACUGAUCACCAUGGUAUUUCACCGAUUUUUUUUAAGUAUGAAAUCGUUUGAAAAUAGUAAUCUAUUUUAUUUAUUUGGAAGGCAGAGAGAGAGAGAGAGAGAGAAAGACAGAGAGACAGAGAGAGCUCUCUCAUCCACUAGUUUACUCCCCAAAUGCUUCGAGUAACCAGAGCUAGACCAGGUCAGGAGCUGAAAAAUCAAUCCAGGUCUCCCAAAUGAGUGGCAAGAUUGCAACAACUGGGGCCUUCCAGGGUGCACAUUAGCAGGAAUCCAGAACAGAACCAUAGCUUGAAACCAGGGAUUGUAAUAUGGUUUGUGGACAUCUCAAGUGACAUCAUAACCACUCAGCCUGCUCUUACAAACAUCUUUAUGCUAAAUAAAAGAAAUCCAUGAGUCUGAUGAAAGGAAAAACUUCCUAGACAGAUAUAAAUUCCAAAAAGUGUCUCCAUCAUCCUUUAUAAGUGGAUCUUAUUUCACCAGGUCUUAAUUAUGGGUUGUUGUAGGCAAUGGAUUCAUAAAACACAUGAAGACUGGUGAUUGGGAUGUGGAAGCAGUUAUGUUGUUGUCGGAUUAAGAAAACUUACACUACUAUGUGAAAAAUCCCGGGUCUGCUAUAGGAUGAGAACACGUGAAGUAAAAUGGUACACCAAGGACAACAUUUUGCUGGCUGUUGUACAAGUGUAUGAAGACAUCUGAAGGCCUUCCAGCCCAUGACAGUAAUCAAUGGAGCCCAUGAGAGGUGGUCUAGAUAAUAAAGUGAGCCAAUGAAAUAUA